rnacentral:rRNA from 1 species
GAUGAACGCUGGCGGCGUGCUUAACACAUGCAAGUCGAACGGUGAAGGCGGAGCUUGCUCUGCUGGAUCAGUGGCGAACGGGUGAGUAACACGUGAGCAAUCUGCCCCUGACUCUGGGAUAAGCGCUGGAAACGGCGUCUAAUACUGGAUACGAGCUGCGAAGGCAUCUUCAGCAGCUGGAAAGAACUUCGGUCAGGGAUGAGCUCGCGGCCUAUCAGCUUGUUGGUGAGGUAACGGCUCACCAAGGCGUCGACGGGUAGCCGGCCUGAGAGGGUGACCGGCCACACUGGGACUGAGACACGGCCCAGACUCCUACGGGAGGCAGCAGUGGGGAAUAUUGCACAAUGGGCGAAAGCCUGAUGCAGCAACGCCGCGUGAGGGACGACGGCCUUCGGGUUGUAAACCUCUUUUGGCAGGGAAGAAGCGAAAGUGACGGUACCUGCAGAAAAAGCGCCGGCUAACUACGUG